rnacentral:pre_miRNA from 1 species
UUAAUACUCCCUUCGUUCUGAAUUACUCGUCGCAGAAAUAGAUGUAUCUAGAUGUAUUUUAGUUCUAGAGACAUCCAUUUCUGCGACGAGUAAUUUGGAACGAAGAGAGUAGGUG